rnacentral:lncRNA from 1 species
GGGCUCUCCGCUCUGCUCCGCUCCGGCCGCGCGCAGCCCAGCGGCACCACCUGGGAAAGGUAGAGCGCUGCGACCUGCCGAGGGUUGGGAAAAACAUUGUCAACAAUUAACAUAGAAAGUAAUAGGAAUUGCUCUUAGUACAUCAAGACUCCCUUCCACCCCCCCAACCAGCUCGGGAUUGAAUGAUCUACCUAAAGGAUCUUCAGGGCUGUGUUCGAAUUGCCAUGGAAACAAAAGCAGAACUCGGGAACCAGCAGUCAGCCACUGAAGUUGAAAGGAUCCUGGCUGUUUGACCUGUUUCUCCUUGUCUUUCCAUGGAAACAGAGGUUUCAGAGGGGAGGGAAAAGCUUGCAAAACGGCAAUGUCACAGAACUGACCACAUUCAUCACAAUAUGGAGUCUGGAGAGCGGUUAUCGUCAUCAUCAACUUCCUCUACUGCAGCUACUUCGUCUCCAGCAUCUUCUACGCCUUCUGUAGCUUCAGCAGUUUCAAAGGGUGGCCUCCCCACUGGAGCUGCAUCACAGAGUUCUGCCGUCAACGCAUGUGGGUGAGCAAUAGUAUAUUCUCCAAACUGAAAAACGCUGCCCUCAUCUUGUAGAACCCACUAUACUCCUGGUGCGCUUCUACAGCCUGGGAUUGUUCAUUUGCAGCCUCACUGGGAAGAUCAGAAACCAGCAUUUCUGUGUACCUACAAAUAUGUCUCAAUAACAUUUACUUUAUUACUCAAAAAGCAGCCAGCAAAUUUAACUAAAACUUACCAAGAACAAAUGAAAAACGUGUCUUAUUUUUCAGUAUCCACCACCACAAAUUCAACCUCCAAAGACUUUUGUGUCUAUGUUUAUUAGCCCCUAACAUUUGAAACUGUUUUCUGUGGUGGUUACCUGGAAUGUAGUAGGAGUUAAUUUGCAUAUGGCUGUAAAACUCAAAAUCUUAUACUGAGGAUUUAUGAGACUUAUUUAUUUUUCCUCUUUUGUAGGUAUUAAAGCAUUUAAUUUUAACUGUAGCAUCAUGUAUAGGAUAUAUAUUUUAUCUAACAAAAUAAAACUAAUUUCAAAGAAGAUAAAUAAUGUAAU